GACGAACGCUGGCGGCGUGCUUAACACAUGCAAGUCGAACGGGCCUUGUCCCCUUUUUUUUUGGGGGUGGGGUUAGUGGCGAACGGGUGAGUAACGCGUGAGUAACCUGCCCCUCACUUCUGGAUAACCGCUUGAAAGGGUGGCUAAUACGGGGUGUUCUGGCCUGCUCGCAUGGGUGGGUUUGGAAAGAUUCGACCGGUUUUGGUUGUUUUGGUGGGUGAUGGGCUCGCGGCCUAUCAGCUUGUUGGUGGGGUGAUGGCCUGCCAAGGCUUUGACGGGUAGCCGGCCUGAGAGGGUGGGCGGUCACACUGGGACUGAGACACGGCCCAGACUCCUACGGGAGGCAGCAGUGGGGAAUAUUGCACAAUGGGCGCAAGCCUGAUGCAGCGACGCCGCGUGAGGGAUGGAGGCCUUCGGGUUGUGAACCUCUUUCGCCAGUGAAGAAGGUCCUGCUCUUUGUGGUGGGGUUGACGGUAGCUGGGUUAAUGAAGCGCCGGCUAACUACGUG
rnacentral:rRNA from 1 species